UUAGAGUUUGAUCCUGGCUCAGGAUGAACGCUAGCGGCAGGCUUAACACAUGCAAGUCGAGGGGCAGCGGGUGUAGCAAUACAUGCCGGCGACCGGCGCAAGGGUGCGUAACGCGUGAGCAAUCUGCCCGUAUCAGGGGGAUAAGCGAUGGAAACGUCGUCUAAUACCGCAUAACACCAAUGAUGGCAUCAUCGAUGGUUGAAAGCUUCGGUGGAUACGGAUGAGCUCGCGAGACAUUAGUUAGUUGGCGGGGUAACGGCCCACCAAGACCGCGAUGUCUAGGGGAACUGAGAGGUUGGUCCCCCACACUGGAACUGAGACACGGUCCAGACUCCUACGGGAGGCAGCAGUGAGGAAUAUUGGACAAUGGCCGGAAGGCUGAUCCAGCCAUGCCGCGUGAAGGAAUAAGGUCCUAUGGAUUGUAAACUUCUUUUGUACGAGAGCAAUAAGUGUCACGAGUGACACGAUGAGAGUAUCGUACGAAUAAGCAUCGGCUAACUCCGUGCCAGCAGCCGCGGUAAUACGGAGGAUGCGAGCGUUAUCCGGAUUUAUUGGGUUUAAAGGGUGCGUAGGCGGGAUUUUAAGUCAGCGGUGAAACGCAAGGGCUCAACCCUUGACCUGCCGUUGAAACUGGAGUUCUUGAAUGCGGAUGCUGUGGGAGGAAUGUGUGGUGUAGCGGUGAAAUGCAUAGAUAUCACACAGAACACCGAUUGCGAAGGCAUCUCACAAAUCCGUGAUUGACGCUGAGGCACGAAAGUGUGGGGAUCAAACAGGAUUAGAUACCCUGGUAGUCCACACUGUAAACGAUGAUAACUCGCUGUCGGCGAUACACAGUCGGUGGCCAAGCGAAAGCGAUAAGUUAUCCACCUGGGGAGUACGACCGCAAGGUUGAAACUCAAAGGAAUUGACGGGGGCCCGCACAAGCGGAGGAACAUGUGGUUUAAUUCGAUGAUACGCGAGGAACCUUACCCGGGCUCGAACUGCAGGCGAACGAUACAGAGAUGUUGAGGCCCUUCGGGGCGCCUGUGGAGGUGCUGCAUGGUUGUCGUCAGCUCGUGCCGUGAGGUGUCGGCUUAAGUGCCAUAACGAGCGCAACCCCUUUCUCCAGUUGCCAUCAGGCGAUGCUGGGCACUCUGGAGACACUGCCACCGUAAGGUGUGAGGAAGGUGGGGAUGACGUCAAAUCAGCACGGCCCUUACGUCCGGGGCUACACACGUGUUACAAUGAGUGGUACAGAGAGUUGGUCGUUUGCAAAUGCGAUCUAAUCAUGAAAGCCAUCCUCAGUUCGGAUUGGGGUCUGCAACCCGACCCCAUGAAGCUGGAUUCGCUAGUAAUCGCGCAUCAGCCAUGGCGCGGUGAAUACGAUGCCGGGCCUUGCACUCACCGCCCGUCA
rnacentral:rRNA from 1 species